GCUCCCAUGGCGUAGUGGUCACUGCGCUCGCACGCGGGAGACCCGGGUUCGAUUCCCGGCGGGGUCA
rnacentral:tRNA from 1 species